rnacentral:rRNA from 1 species
UAAGCAUAUCAAUAAGCGGAGGAAAAGAAACCAACAGGGAUUGCCCUAGUAACGGCGAGUGAAGCGGCAACAGCUCAAAUUUGAAAUCUGGCUUUCGGGCCCGAGUUGUAAUUUGUAGAGGAUACUUUUGAUGCGGUGCCUUCCGAGUUCCCUGGAACGGGACGCCAUAGAGGGUGAGAGCCCCGUCUGGUUGGAUGCCAAAUCUCUGUAAAGUUCCUUCGACGAGUCGAGUAGUUUGGGAAUGCUGCUCUAAAUGGGAGGUAUAUGUCUUCUAAAGCUAAAUAUUGGCCAGAGACCGAUAGCGCACAAGUAGAGUGAUCGAAAGAUGAAAAGCACUUUGAAAAGAGAGUUAAAAAGUACGUGAAAUUGUUGAAAGGGAAGCGUUUAUGACCAGACUUGGACUUGGUUAAUCAUCUGGGGUUCUCCCCAGUGCACUUUUCCAGUUCAGGCCAGCAUCAGUUUUCGCCGGGGGAUAAAGGCUUCGGGAAUGUAGCUCUCUUCGGGGAGUGUUAUAGCCCGUUGUGUAAUACCCUGGCGGAGACUGAGGUUCGCGCUUCUGCAAGGAUGCUGGCGUAAUGGUCAUCAA